CCCAUUCUAGACCCCGCCCUUAAUUCGCUGCGCGGGGCGGCUUUCGCAGUCCAGGUACCGAGAGCGCGGACGGUGGGUGCAAUGGGCUGCGCAGAGAAAUCAGCUUCACGGCAGUUAAUCUUUUCUUCGAUGUGGGGAUCACCAGACCAUCUGGGAAACCUUUCCCACGCACUGUCUCUAUGUCCGGUGACUUUGGGAAGUCCUAAAGGACAAUGGGGGAAUUCACCAAGCUUAGGUCGAGUGAGCCUCCCCACCACCCCGGAGCCAGCAUGGGACACAGCUGAACUCAUUUCUUGGAGGAACUUGCCAGUGUGUCCCCAAGAGCCUGGGUGGCAUAGUCUGUGCCCAACUGGUGCCUGAAGCCUACGGGGACUGCACUUCCUGUGCUCCGGACUUCCUCAUAGGAAGGAAUGGAGAAUUCGCCGCCUAGUCUGUGGCUGAGAUGGAGCUCUGAACAAACCAGCACUCUCCCAGCACCAAAUGAUAUUAGGGCCACUUGAUUACAAAUGACUAUGCUAAUGUACUGCUGUUUCCGUCCCCAAACCACGGAAUGAAACAUCUCUCUAUGACAAAGAGGACUUACUUGAUUCUUCUCCUGGACCAGAGGAUAAGAACGGUGACCUCAAGGAGGAGAAGCACUCACCAGAUGAAGAGGAACAGUACUUCCUGGGGUCCUGCUUUCCUUGCCAGGUGUCACCAAGCUCUCUUUAAACUCAGAACACAACCAUUUUGAUUCAUCGGCCCCCAUGGAGCCAACGCUUGAGAACUGACCUACUAUAGGCCAGGACUCUGCUUUAGGUAUGGAUGAGGCAUGCUCUUUCAGAAGCUGUGAGAGAAUAAAAACGAAUGUACCGUCACUCCAAACACGUGAACAGAAAUGCUGUGACAACUCAGAACACGGUUUUCCGCCCUUGGAAUGCCUCGUUCACAAGGAAAGGCUGAAAAUAUUAGCGACCAAGUUCAUACCCAUGGGUAGUUUUUUUUUCCUUCUUUGGGAAAUAUUUUUAAAUACUGAAGAUAUUUUAUUUUAAUGGAGUAAGUGGACACAAGUAUUCUUCUUCCAAAAUUCUUUGAUUUGUACUAAAAGCAAAAAGAGAUUAAAAAAAAUAAAAAGAAGACCCAUUUUAGUAGCGAUGUCAGAUAAAGCACCAACCUGCCACACGAAAUUAGAUUUCUGCCUUGAAGUUGCAAUGGUUUAACAUACCUAAACAAUACUAGGAGGUCAAGCUAUUGUAUAUUUUGACGCGUAUCAUUUGAAAGAGGUUUAACUCUUGGGAUCUAGGCAGCUGUGACGCUCUGUAAAUAAAAGGGAAUAUAUUUACAUUUAGAUACAUACUACCAUAAGCACUGCAGAAGACUGACCUGCAUUUCCUGCUUUGUCUGAUAUUUAUGCAAAGCUGCAGAAACAAUUCAGAAAAUACUGGGAAAUUUUAUCCAUUUAAACUCGUACCGAAGGUCUUCCUAGAGGCUGGAGAUGGCAACAACAAAAAAAAGCCUCAGUUCCUGCCCCAGGGGAGCUCAUAUUCUGAUGGAUGUAUUGUUUAGUUUAUACGUACUAUUUUCCUUAUCACAGAGUAGGCAUUAAUAUUUAUAAACGCACUUCCCCAAAGAGCCCAAAUAGUUCUCAACUUCCACCCUGGGUGCAGCAUGGCAUAGGAAACAGGACUGAGCCAACAACAGGACUCGGCUUCUAUUUUGGGCUAUUCUGGGCUCAGUCCUUGAUCAGGUACAUGGCCCUAGCCAAGGCCCUGGGCUUCUCUUUACACCUCAGUGGAACAGACGUCUGAUCACCCAUCUUCCUUGGAAUGCAGCUAUGAUGCAACACGGGUUCCCGACAGUGGAAAGUGGCCGCAAACUCUAAGAUGCUACUCCGCUUCCAGUAAGACUGGGAUGCUGCACGAUAUGGGCCAUCACCGGGCCGUUCUGAACCACCGGCCCACAGGCUAAUACACACUAGUGCUUACCCAACACUCAGCACGUGCCUUGCAUUCAUUUCCUCAUUUAAUCCUUAGGCAAUUCUGUGAGGGAAGUACUGUUGUUAUGCCCAUUUUAUGGAUGUCAAGAGGGGUUAAGGAGCAAGUCAAGGUCACACGGCUUGCAACCAGGUCAGGAUUUGGCCCCGGGUGUGGGCAUCCGCCCACAAAGCUGUGCACUUAGCCAGUAUGUGGGACCCUCUCCUCCCCAGGUCAAGACAGAAAGAUGGUGGCUUCGAGACCUUGCCCGCUUUCAGCUGUGGUCUCACUUACAAAAGGAAAUUAAAGUGAAAAGUUGUCAUUGGCCGGGCGGAAUUCUCACACAACAUAAAUAAUUUAUGGAAAAAGAGGGGCUUUUAAGAAAGCCCCUUUAAGGAAUUUACUAAGGUCGAUAAACUGACUCCUAGAGAGAGGUGGGGAAAACUUUAAACCUUAACUUGCUGGUUGUUUAAUUUUGUUAAAGACCUUUCUUGGCUUAUUUUCAUACCAGCAGCAAAUGUCAUUGUCAUAAUUACAGUUCUCAGGGCAAUGGUUUAGCAAACAAAACACAUCAUAGCUCAGCUGUAGUCUUCACUCAACACUAUUUUCUGUUCUGUGUUGAAUUUGUGUUAAAAAUCCUUGAUGUGCUGAUCAAAAGCUAUAAUACUUAUAUGAAUAAAAAAUCUCUAACUAUCUUUAUUACAAGAAAUAAAAAAACUAAAAAUCCUCCACGUACUUUUGCCAUUUAGAAUCGUUAACUCUACACCUAUAAAUGAGGCAAAAUGUUAAAAUACAAGUAAUUACUGGAAACUAUAAUUAGACAAUCAAUUAUCAAGUGCCUACUAUUUGCCCAGAAUUGUGCUAGAGAUACUAUGAAGCUGCCUUCAAAAUAUACCAAUUAUAAAUGAAAAAGGACAGAACAUACAUUAAAUUUUUAAAAAAUGGUAAAAUAGUAAAAAUUCUGUUACCUUCCUAAGCCUAAAAUGUCCCCAGUUAUCUUUUUGAUUUCCUUCCUUGAAAGCGUCCCGGGGUUGAGCCAAUAAGGUAAACACUAAAAAGAUAUAAAGCACAAGUUACAGAACAUAGUGAUUUGUGGACUCCCCAAAUCACAAAAUAUGCAGGAAAACUAACAUUAAGCAAGAAAUAUUCUAAGAGCCAACCCACUUUCUUGAAAUGCCUCUUCAGAGGAGUAACUGACACUUAAAAUCAUUUUUGAGCACAUCAAGUAAUGGUGGGACACCCACGGGGUAUAAGGUACCAGGCAAAGAGCUCAGCAAUUUUAAGAGAAAGCUCUCCGGCUGGGAUGGGAGGGGUGGGGUGGUGGCACUCAGGUGAGGGGCAAGAUCUCCCGGCCUCCACUUCAGUGCCUGAGGACCAGGAGGUGCAGACAGUGACAGGCCCUGCUCUCAUCACGUCCCGAAGGACAGCCAUCUCCUGCCGGGCCCCUGUGUUCCAGACCUCACAUGGUGUUCAAGCGCACACAGUGACUACCAAGAAAUGGCCGGAACCCUACAAACCCUUGUGUCUUCUGGUGCCAGUCGGCGUGAAUGAGGUUGGAGCACUUAUCAGUACAGACACGUGCAGCAGACUGAAAUGACAAACGCAUUUCCUACUGUGGGUUGCAGUUUAAGUUUGGAAGAUGCUGCAUUUUCAAGAGACUGAUCCUUCUUCAUACUCUACAGACGCCAGACUUGUCACCAGCGUGUACCUGGGCUUGAGAAUCCGUGGCUAGGACAGGUCAUGGGGACUAUCCAGCUCCCCACGUGAACCAGAAGCAGCGCUUAUUUGGGUCACACAUGUUGGAUCCUCCUCUCACUGUGCACGGCUUCCCUUGGGCUGGACAGGGCCGCAGCUACUUCAUGCUACUGGGCAGGAGUGGGUCACAUGGAGGGGAGGCCCUGCUACAGCCCGAAGAGGAGAGAGGCCCAUCCUGCAGUCUGCUCCUGGCUGCACGGCCACAUCUGACGCUUCCCUCCCGCUGUGGAGUCUCAGGGCCGUGGGAGGUGCCUUUGCUUCCCGCUCUGGGGGCCACCAAAGAGCUUCAGCAUGUUAAAGCACUAUGAGAUAAGCCCCGGGACUCACAGCAUCCUGGAAGCAGGGGUACAGCUCGUUCACCGUCUCUAAGAGGACCACGAGCUCCUGGAGGAUGGGGCUGCAUCUGGUCACUUCCAGAUGCUCCGCAAGUAGUCACCACCAGCUGACGCAAGUGUGACCCCGGAGACUCCUUCAGAGUUACUGUGGCAGCUCCACUCUGUCGGGGGAGGGCGGGGGACGCGUUCACACCUGUCACCAGGAGCUGGAAGGCUUUCCUUCUUUCCUAGCUCAUGUGUUUGUCUUGCCUCUCUCACCCGAAGACUAAAAGCUGGAAGGACAAACACCAUGAUGUCUCCAAACACUUUACGUCCCCCCGAGCUGUGCUUCAAGAAUGUAAUAGAUAUUUAAUGAAUAACUCUUAGAACAUUUUAAAAUGAACAACGGAAAGUAAUUUCAAGGCAUGAGUUCAAUCUCCUACAAAAUACUGGCAUUUUAACAAAAAGUAAACCACACACACACUACAGAGUGGGGAAAGGGUCUAUCAUUACUUCCCUAGGCACUUUCAACUCUGAAUGAGGAACUCUGCUGGGUUUAACCUGCAAAAUGCAUGUGUUGGAGGCGAAGGAAGAAUGGACUUGCAAAGCGUGUGUGUGUGUGUGUGUGUGUGUGUGUG